GGGGAUCUAGCUCAAAUGGUAGAGUGCAUGUUUCGCAUCCGUGAGGCACUGGGAUCUAUGUCCAGGUUCUCCA